GCACCCCCUUCCCAGGACUCACUAUGUCUUCUUCAGGACCGUUUCUUUCUUCCUGAAUGACUCUCAGAUGGAAGGACAGCUUCCUUCUGCCUUUCUCUGGUCUCACCAUGCUCCCCAUUUUUUUUUCUCCCAAGUAGACUCCUCAGUCUAGAAAACAUGUCUACAGAUUGACUCUGUAGUCACUGACUGAAGUCUCUAAGAGCAGUGGGUGUUGCCACAACGCUGGUGACAUCACAGGGGAUGCCGUGAGCUCUCCAGGAUACAAUGGAAUGUCCAGAGAAGACAGUGCUGAUGGCAUGGCCUUUACUCCCUACUAAGGAGUAUGUCUCCCUGAACUGACAAGAAGCUGAGGUGCCCUUCAGCUCAGUUUCAAGUAUUCCAAUGACACGGACAGUGCCUGACCAGCGCCUAGCCACCCCACACUGGACCUCACAUUGGUAUGUGCUUUCCCAAUAUGCUUUGAAGCUGCUGUUCUUAUUUCUACAGCCUCUGACUCAAAGUUAACAAAAAACACUUAAUAUCCCUCAGAACAAAUAAAUAAAGGUAAUGUAUUUACAUUGGUACAUCAGUGGAAAAUCUGGUAUAACUGAGCAUUGAGAAACCAGGACUGGGUCCUAGUCUCUGUGGGCCAGCCUGGCUCACAUGCAGGUAUGGGCACACCUUACAAUCCUCUGCAGCAACAGUGAGAUGGCAGGGGUCGUGAGCUGGCUGAGCAGCAGUGUUGAGGUCCCUCAGUGAAGAGAAUCCCAGUUCCCAUCCAAGGAGCUCCUGCUGAGGGCAUGGACUUUGUCUGACCAUGGUAAAUUUAUGCAGACAUCUGUUCAAGUAAAACAAAGUUCUUCCAUUCAGCAGCACAUAGGACAAGGAUCAAGGUCAGAGAUGGUGACCUCUUGCCACAAACUAUGUAACAAGAGGGAUGUGGAAUUCAUGUGUGUCAAAUAUCAGGGGUCUCCUGGGUGGUUUGGGGUCCCUGUUGGCUUUGUGUAACAGCUUGAAGAGCCCAGUUCCGAUGUUCAUCGGGAUUCCCAUGAUGAUGCACUCAGACACUCCUG
rnacentral:lncRNA from 1 species